rnacentral:rRNA from 1 species
UACGGGGGGGGUAAGCGUUGUUCGGAAUUACUGGGCGUAAAGGGCUCGUAGGCGGCCAACUAAGUCAGACGUGAAAUCCCUCAGCUUAACUGGGGAACUGCGUCUGAUACUGGAUGGCUUGGAUUCGGGAGAGGAAUGCGGAAUUCCAGGUGUAGCGGUGAAAUGCGUAGAUAUCUGCAGGAACACCCGUGGCGAAAGCGGCGCGCUGGACCACUACUGACGCUGAGGCGCGAAAGCCAGGGGAGCAAACGGG